GAUGAACGCUGGCGGCGUGCCUAACACAUGCAAGUCGAGCGAACAGAUGAGGAGCUUGCUCCUCUGACGUUAGCGGCGGGCGGGUGAGUAACACGUGGAUAACCUACCUAUAAGACUGGGAUCACUUCGGGAACUAGGAGCUCAUACCGGCUACUAUAUUGAACCGGAUGGUUCAAUAGUGAAAGACGGUUUUGCUGUCACUUAUAGAUUGAUCCGCGCCGGAUUAGCUAGUUGGUAAGGUAACGGCUUACCAAGGCAACGAUGCGUAGCCGACCUGAGAGGGUGAUCGGCCACACUGGAACUGAGACACGGUCCAGACUCCUACGGGAGGCAGCAGUAGGGAAUCUUCGACAAUGGGCGAAAGCCUGACGGAGCAACGCCGCGUGAGUGAUGAAGGUCUUCGGAUCGUAAAACUCUGUUAUUAGGGAAGAACAGAUGUGUAAGUAACUGUGCAGAUAUUGACGGUACCUGAACAAAAAGCCACGGCUAACUACGUG
rnacentral:rRNA from 1 species